UGCUCAUAAUCCUUAAUGUUAUCAAAUGCACCAUUUGCACAAAAUGUUUCAGUAUAAGCAGUAACAUGUGAAUUUGCAGCUGGAAUGUAAACAGGAUGAUGGGCUGGACCAGCAUUUAUUGGCAAUCCCUAAUUACAUUGAUGGUGAUGGCAGGUUGUCCUUUUGAACCACCUGGUGUAAGGGCUUCCCAGAAUGCUAUUAAUAUCCUCUACUGUGAAGACCGAUGGAAAGUAUGAAUUCAACUUCUCUACCAUUACCUGCUCCCGAUGAUUAUUUCCCCAACCUCAUUCUCGAAGAGACCUACAUUCACUUCGGACCUUUUUCUGUACUGAAAGAAGCUGUGUCUGUUUUUGCAUUCCUUGCUAU